rnacentral:tRNA from 1 species
GCCGUGGUGCUCUGGUUCCGCAGCCGGCUGUCCGAGCCGGUCGGCCGGGUGCUGUCCCGGCUGCGGUCC